AAUAAGUGCAGCCGUGGAUAUCCGUGCCCAACAUUUGACCGUCCGUCUUAUUUGAAAAUUUUGAAAAUAUUUAGUCACACAUAAAGUACUAUUUAUGUUUUAUCAUCUAAUAGCAAUAAAAAUACUAAUCAUAAAAAAAUUUCAAAUAAGACGAACGGUCAAACGUUGAACGUGAAUAGUGCAAAACUGCAUUUAUU
rfam:Oryza sativa Japonica Group DNA, chromosome 2, cultivar: Nipponbare, complete sequence.